rnacentral:misc_RNA from 1 species
AUUAAACCAGCAAGAGCCAUCCUAUAGGGAAACAGAAGAUAUUGAUCCCAUUAGUGAUUGUAACAAAUGCACAUUGCAUUCGCACAAGUGAAGGAGAAGCUAACCCUCACUUUUGCACUUUAACCAUUCAAACUAUAAUGGCUAGGAGUUUUAAGGAGCUAGUUUCUCUAUAAGGGAUUACUUACGGUGAUAACAAGAAACGAUCAGA